rnacentral:rRNA from 1 species
CAGCAGCCGCGGUAAUACGAAGGGUGCAAGCGUUACUCGGAAUUACUGGGCGUAAAGCGUGCGUAGGUGGUGGUUUAAGUCCGUUGUGAAAGCCCUGGGCUCAACCUGGGAAUUGCAGUGGAUACUGGGUCACUAGAGUGUGGUAGAGGAUAGUGGAAUUUCCGGUGUAGCAGUGAAAUGCGUAGAGAUCGGAAGGAACAUCUGUGGCGAAGGCGACUAUCUGGGCCAACACUGACACUGAGGCACGAAAGCGUGGGGAGCAAACAGGAUUAGAUACCCCAGUAGUCCCCUGUCUCUUAUA